rnacentral:rRNA from 1 species
GGGAAUAUUGCACAAUGGGGGAAACCCUGAUGCAGCAACGCCGCGUGAGUGAUGAAGGCCUUCGGGUUGUAAAACUCUGUCUUUGGGGACGAUAAUGACGGUACCCAAGGAGGAAGCCACGGCUAACUACGUGCCAGCAGCCGCGGUAAUACGUAGGUGGCAAGCGUUGUCCGGAUUUACUGGGCGUAAAGCGUGCGCAGGCGGAUUGUUAAGCAAGACGUGAAAUCCCCGGGCUUAACCUGGGAAUGGCGUUUUGAACUGGCAGUCUAGAGUGCGUCAGAGGGGGGUGGAAUUCCACGUGUAGCAGUGAAAUGCGUAGAGAUGUGGAGGAACACCGAUGGCGAAGGCAGCCCCCUGGGAUGACACUGACGCUCAUGUACGAAAGCGUGGGUAGCAAACA